UGGGGAAUAUUGGACAAUGGGCGAAAGCCUGAUCCAGCCAUGCCGCGUGUGUGAAGAAGGUCUUCGGAUUGUAAAGCACUUUAAGUUGGGAGGAAGGGCAGUAACCUAAUACGUUUCUGUCUUGACGUUACCGACAGAAUAAGCACCGGCUAACUCUGUGCCAGCAGCCGCGGUAAUACAGAGGGUGCAAGCGUUAAUCGGAAUUACUGGGCGUAAAGCGCGCGUAGGUGGUUUGUUAAGUUGGAUGUGAAAUCACCGGGCUCAACCUGGGAACUGCAUUCAAAACUGACAAGCUAGAGUAUGGUAGAGGGUGGUGGAAUUUCCUGUGUAGCGGUGAAAUGCGUAGAUAUAGGAAGGAACACCAGUGGCGAAGGCGACCACCUGGACUGAUACUGACACUGAGGUGCGAAAGCGUGGGGAGCAAACAGGAUUAGAUACCCGGGUAGUCCCUGAGCGGGCUGGCAAGGCGCAU
rnacentral:rRNA from 1 species